AGGCAGCAGUUAGGAAUCUUCCGCAAUGGACGGAAGUCUGACGGAGCGACGCCGCUUGGAGGAGGAAGCCCUUCGGGGUGUAAACUCCUGAACUGGGGACGAAAGCCCUGUGUAGGGGGAUGACGGUACCCAGGUAAUAGCGCCGGCCAACUCCGUGCCAGCAGCCGCGGUAAUGCGGAGGGCGCGAGCGUUACCCGGAUUUACUGGGCGUAAAGGGCGUGUAGGCGGCCUGGGGCGUCCCAUGUGAAAGGCCACGGCUCAACCGUGGAGGAGCGUGGGAUACGCUCAGGCUAGAGGGUGGGAGAGGGUGGUGGAAUUCCCGGAGUAGCGGUGAAAUGCGCAGAUACCGGGAGGAACGCCGAUGGCGAAGGCAGCCACCUGGUCCACUUCUGACGCUGAGGCGCGAAAGCGUGGGGAGCAAACCGGAUUAGAUACCCUGGUAGUCC
rnacentral:rRNA from 1 species